CGUCAGCACCCGGGCGCCGCCGUACCUCGCCUUCAGCUGCGCCAUCAAACCAAGCUUCUUAAUUACAUUGACUGCCAGAAAAUUAAGAACUCAACUUUGAGGCACUGGAAGUUGCCGUCGACGAAGAUGCCGACGCGGUCGCAGAGCUCCUCAGCCUCCUCCAUGGAAUGUGCUGAAAUGUUCAGUGCCCAUAUUAUUCAGUCUAGUUGUCAAUCCGUCACAAAUGUUGCCGUCUGCACAUAUAGGAGGAGGAUUAAUAAUUAAUUACUGGUGAGAAUGAUGGUGCAGUUCUUCUUCGCCCUCUUAAUGACAUUCCAGAGACUGCUCCUCGAAGUCGUGUCCAAUCCGGUGCUCGGUUCGUCCAUGUAAACAACCUACUCAACAUCAAUGGAAUGAAUGAAUCAAAGACAGUUAUUACAGCUGAAGUUUUCUUCAGAGAUGUGUGGAAGGUAAUGAAGAACUGUGCAUUGGGAAUACUUUAGGGUUGCCGAUCAGUGCGAUGGCGACGCUGAGCCUUCUCUUCAUGCCACCGCUGUACUUGCUCACCGAUUUGUCGCCGAAGCCGCUGUGGAACAGAUUUACACUCUUCAGAGAUUCAUCCACUGCCUGGACCAAGAAAAACCUGAUGAUCAAAUACUAGAAUUUUUUUUUCCCAGUGUCAUGUGUAGUAGAAGUAUAAAUGGAGUGAACAUUUGCAAUUUAUUUGUAAAAAGCAGUAUCAGGUAGUAGGGAAGAACUUGUA